rnacentral:rRNA from 1 species
GACGAACGCUGGCGGCGUGCUUAACACAUGCAAGUCGAACGGGCUCUGUCUGGCUGUGUGCUGGGUGGGGUUAGUGGCGAACGGGUGAGUAAUACGUGAGUAACCUGCCCUCUUCUUUGGGAUAAGCCUUGGAAACGGGGUCUAAUACUGGAUAUUCCUGUCUGGUCGCAUGGCUGGGUGGGGAAAGUUUUUUCGGUGGGGGAUGGGCUCGCGGCCUAUCAGCUUGUUGGUGGGGUGAUGGCCUACCAAGGCGUCGACGGGUAGCCGGCCUGAGAGGGUGACCGGCCACACUGGGACUGAGAUACGGCCCAGACUCCUACGGGAGGCAGCAGUGGGGGAUAUUGCACAAUGGGCGCAAGCCUGAUGCAGCGACGCCGCGUGGGGGAUGACGGCUUUCGGGUUGUAAACCUCUUUCGUCGGGGGACAAGGCUCU